rnacentral:rRNA from 1 species
GAUGAACGCUGGCGGCGUGCCUAAUACAUGCAAGUCGAGCGAACGGACGAGAAGCUUGCUUCUCUGAUGUUAGCGGCGGACGGGUGAGUAACACGUGGAUAACCUACCUAUAAGACUGGGAUAACUUCGGGAAACCGGAGCUAAUACCGGAUAAUAUUUUGAACCGCAUGGUUCAAAAGUGAAAGACGGUCUUGCUGUCACUUAUAGAUGGAUCCGCGCUGCAUUAGCUAGUUGGUAAGGUAACGGCUUACCAAGGCGACGAUGCAUAGCCGACCUGAGAGGGUGAUCAGCCACACUGGAACUGAGACACGGUCCAGACUCCUACGGGAGGCAGCAGUAGGGAAUCUUCCGCAAUGGGCGAAAGCCUGACGGAGCAACGCCGCGUGAGUGAUGAAGGUCUUCGGAUCGUAAAACUCUGUUAUUAGGGAAGAACAUAUGUGUAAGUAACUGUGCACAUCUUGACGGUACCUAAUCAGAAAGCCACGGCUAACUACGUG